rnacentral:rRNA from 1 species
UACAGAGGGGGCAAGCGUUAUUCGGAAUUAUUGGGCGUAAAGGGCGCGUAGGCGGCUUGGCAAGUGGAAGGUGAAAUCCCUCGGCUUAACCGAGGAACUGCCCUCCAAACUGCUUUGCUUGAGGCCGGGAGAGGUGAGUGGAAUUCCCAGUGUAGCGGUGAAAUGCGUAGAUAUUGGGAGGAACACCAGUGGCGAAGGCGGCUCACUGGCCCGGUACUGACGCUGAGGUGCGAAAGCGUGGGUAGCAAACAGG